GACGAACGCUGGCGGCGUGCUUAACACAUGCAAGUCGAACGGAAAGGCCCUGCUUUUGUGGGGUGCUCGAGUGGCGAACGGGUGAGUAACACGUGAGUAACCUGCCCUUGACUUUGGGAUAACUUCAGGUAACUGGGGCUAAUACCGGAUAGGAGCUCCUGCUGCAUGGUGGGGGUUGGAAAGUUUCGGCGGUUGGGGAUGGACUCGCGGCUUAUCAGCUUGUUGGUGGGGUAGUGGCUGACCAAGGCUUUGACGGGUAGCCGGCCUGAGAGGGUGACCGGCCACAUUGGGACUGAGAUACGGCCCAGACUCCUACGGGAGGCAGCAGUGGGGAAUAUUGCACAAUGGGCGGAAGCCUGAUGCAGCAACGCCGCGUGCGGGAUGACGGCCUUCUGGUUGUAAACCGCUUUCGCCUGUGACGAAGCGUGAGUGACGGUAAUGGGUAAAGAAGCACCGGCUAACUACGUG
rnacentral:rRNA from 1 species